GGGAAAUCAAGUUGAAGGUCACUUUUAGAAAUGAAGAAUGAAGCAGCACAGAGACUUUGCUAAGCAGGAUAGAACUUGGCAACUGGAGGAUAUCGACCCUCAAGUUUUCUCAUCCAUUGGCUGUUUAUUUCCAGCUGUUCUCCUCCAGUACAGCUGAGGCUGUUUUGGCCCCCUCCCCCUGCCAAAAAGGUUAGUGUGCUUGGGAAGCCACCAGAACAAGAUUCCUGCUAGUUUCUCAGAGUCGAAUUUAAAAUAUUUGGCCAGAAGCUUGCCUGUGGUUGGACCAGUCUCUUACAGCAACUCCUGCCCAUUCCAUCUAUCCCCAAAGGCCAGCGGUGGGGGCGGGGGCACUGAAAGGCUGCUGGGAGCAGCCCCAGACCCAGUGCAUCUGGACAACCUCCUGGGCCUCGU
rnacentral:lncRNA from 1 species